GACAGACUGAAGACCUGACAUCAGUUUAUUGUGAAUAAAACAAUCAACUACAUUCAAAAUGAUGAAAUUUCUGAUUUUGGCUUUUGUUGCCUUGAUGGUAUUCGUUGCAUCAGCCGUUGCUGAGCCAGAACCUCAACCAUCUGGAAUUAUUGCUGGAGCUCCAAUUUUGGCCGCACCAGCAGUGGGUCUUGGUUUGGGACAUGGAGUUAUUCUUGGUUAAACAGUUACCCGACACAAUUUUGUGUUUUUUGUGUAGUUUGUAGAAAAAUAAAAUUAUAAAAAUGUA